GGGGUUCUAGCUCAUCGGUAGAGCGCUCCCUUAGCAUGUCGGUCACGGGCUAUGCAUGGGAGAGGCGCGGCGUUCGAUUCGCCGGUACUCCA